UGAUUUUUUAAUCUCAUGCCUCUAGUUUUCUCUUUUCACCUCUACAAGAGGUUGGUUACAUUUUACUCUCGGUCAGCUUCUUGGAAAGAAUUAUGUAAUAUUAGACCUUCAUGUUAAAGAGGUAGGGCUGGUUAUAAUACCCUUUACAAACCUUUUUUUUUUUUUUUUUUUAAUGUCUAACCAUGUAAGGUUAAAAAGAAAGCAAAACACUUCUCUCUUAAUUCUGGACCAAAUGCACAAUUCAAUUCUCACUUUAAAAAAACUGCUCUGACUGAAUAAAGAUGCUUUUAAUAAAGGAGAAUGCUACUUGGUGUCAGAUAGUUGAGCAGUAUGAAAAAAAAUUAAUAUGAGCUAGUUAGGAAAGGUAGAUUGGACUUUGACUUUAUACAUGUGAAAGAAAAACGAAGUAAGGGUUUUGACUGCUAGGUAUGUUUUUUCAUGUUGAAGUAUGAAAAAUUAUUCAGGAUAAAUUAUUGUCUUAGUCCAUAUAUGAUCAGCAGCUAUACCUGCUUAGAUAUACUACGGGACAUGAAAUUUACAGUCUAUAUUACAUUACAGGCUUUUAUCCAGGGAAAUGUUUGCAUUCCUUUGAAAUGUAAACUAUUUACUGUGGUUAAACAAAGGUGAAUGAUGUCAUCAGUGGACAUUUUAGCUUUAUGGAAGCAAAGUUUUAGGAAAAAUAAUAGAAAGGUAUCUGACUCCUUUUAUUAUUUUUGUAGUGCAAAAGUAUAAACAAAGCUAUCAGUCAAAGGCAUAGGAAAUUCCAUUUGAAGAACCUGCAAAUCAGUUUUGGAUCCACUCUACGAUACCGCAUGAUGCUUAGUUGUCGUAUCUCUUUACACCCUUCUUAGCUGUGAGUUUCUUAGACUUCCCUUGUUUUUGAUGAGCUCGACAGUUUUGAGGAUUAUUGGUCAGUUUUACAGUAAUGGGCCAGAGCCCAGGCUGCCUCCAAAGUAUCUCCAUCCAGAAAGAAGGAUCCCCUCUUUUCUUCCAGAACAUGGAAACCAGCUGUAGCCUAGAAUUCUUGUAUUUUGCAUCUUGCAUUAGUUCACAAAUACUCCUUGUAUACUACUUUGUGCUAGGCUCUGGUUCUAGGUACUUGGUAUAUCACAGUGAACGAAAAGACAAAUCCAAGCCAACACCAUUUUAUUCUCUGUUGCCCUAAAAAGAGUGUUGGCACAGGGUGGUUGCUUCUCAGAAUGUCCUUUGGAACUUCCCAAAAGAUGAGAAUUGAAAUUCACUUCUCUUUUGACAGAGAGAGUAGCCUCAAUACGUGUCAUGGGCUAUAGUUUGUGUCAUAAACAUGCUGAUAGGUCUAAUGUUUGGAAAAGGCAGAUUUAUUCCCCUAAUCAUGAGAAAUUGGGCAUUUAGAGCAUAAAUUUGUAUUUCCAUUCAUUUAAUUUGUUACAUGGAUUUUAUUUUUGCCCCCAAAUCAUGUCCUUAAUGGCCAAGGCUAGUAAGUUCUUAGUGGAGGUCAGGAUUCCACAUUUUCUAGUACAUUCUGAUCAUCUGAAAGAUCUGUAAUUAUUUACCAUUUCUAUGCUUAAUUUUAUAAUGGAUUCCCAAAUAUGGAUCUGUGUUCCUAUAGCUCAUAAAGUUCCCAAAGUCACCCACGGUUAAAUAAAACUUAUUUCUCUGUGUGUUUUUCUUUCCUUCUGAGCUCUGCAAUUGAGGUGGAACUAAGUACAGUGUCCUUUACAAGCUUUUGGUGUCUAGUUACUUGAGAAACACUCCCCCUACGGUGAAAUCAUCAUCCAUUUACUUUUUUUUUUUUUUUUUUGUAAUUGAGCGGUCAGGACACUUUAUCCUUUUCCUGUGAGUUACCUAAAGAUUUAUUUCUUUGGGGAAGAACAUAUGUGGGGGAAUUAGAACCAGUUUUGAGGAUUUACCCCUGAUUCACUUAUGAACUUAGGAUAGCCCUUUCCCUUUUAUACUUAGAUUAUUUUAAACUCUUAAAAGUAACUUAAAUUGGUAAGAAUUAUUUCCCCUCCCCAGGGUACUUGAGAAGUUUCUCUUAUUUGGUCUCAAAUAGGCUUAUAACAUCUUCAUAACUUUAAAAAGCUGAAUAUCUCUGCGUUGAUGGGGAAAUAAGACCGAGAGGAGUGUUUUAUUUACCCUGAGGUCACAUAGUGAUGUAAACAGAAUCAGAUAUCUUACUAGUACCUGAAAAUGGAGGUGUCUGACCACUAAUAAGAUUAGUCUGCAACACCGACCUGUUUAGAGAAAGGUCAGAGAUUAAACAAUACUAUAAAACCAUAAGAUACAGGAAAUCAUAAAAAUUAUUUGAGUGGAGGGAGAGUGGAAAUUAACUUUUAUUUUGUUCGUGUCUCUUUAGAACAUGAUUUCAAUCCAAAGUCACAAACAGCUGGAGGCAGUGUUUCUUUAAGUGAGGUAGUCCCUCUACCCCUGCCUCAGAAUCACCUGGAGUCCAUAGGGACACCCAAAUGAAUCAGACUGUCUGUUUGUUCUCAAAAUGCAUAUACAUGGUUAAGGAUUAGACAGGAUGUGCACAAAAAAGAGGAGGGGGAGAUUAAUUCCUUAAAGGACUGAGGAGACACCUUUAGGACCUAGAAUUUGAGGCAAGUUUGAAGGAACUGGGGAGGGAGGGCUGGUGUCAGUCAUAGUCAGGAAUAUUUAGGAAAAUAAUACUCAACGUCUGAUGAGCCAUGGUAUUGCACCCGAGAGUUGCAGCUAAGGUUCUUCAUACACACACCACCUUAUGAAGUGCUGGCUUCCAAGUUAGACCUACUCAAAUUCAGAGCCUGGCUGUACCACUACUAGCUGAGUGACCUUGGACAAGUUGCUUUAUAAUUUCAUCUGCACCCAGGACAAAAUAGUGCCUAACUUGGUUGGCUCAUUGUGAAGGAUAAAUGAAAAUGUGACGCCAUGCCUGUUCAUAGCUAUGAUGGGAGAAGAAUUUAAAUGAAGUACCUUUUCUCGUGUGAGUUUUACCAGUGAAGAAGUUGAGAAGAUAAUGAUUGUCCUCCCUGAAAUUAAACAAAAAGUAAUCAGGAAGCUCUGAGUGAGUAAUAAAACUGCCCUCUGGUCUUAAAUAUCUGCUUUGCUAGGGAGACUGUCCUCAGAAGUCCAAUUGAAGCAAGUCUGAGCUCUGUCCUGAAAGAGGAUGCGCUAUGUGUUGAUAUUAAUGUAACAUAAUCUCUAUAGCCCCUGGAAAAUUGUGGCUACCCAAGAAACACUGAACAAAAUCUUGGUUGAAGGCAAGCAUAUUUUAGAAAGAAAGAGCUUCUUGAUUUAGUUUACUUGAGAAGCUCAGAGUAUUUCUCAGUUAGCUUUCUCUUCCUUUCAAAUCCCCAGGCUCAACCUGGGCCUGUUUUCCUACUAAGAAAUGUCUCUGCCCGGACUCCUGAACAAAUAUAUUCCAGAGGAGUAUCAUUAACCGAGCUGAUACGGGAACUAAACAAACAGGGUGAAUCAGCUUGAAUUCAUGAAGGUUGGCAACGAGUCAGUUUCUUUCUCUACUUCUCCACUUGUUUUUUCAGUGUACCUGAUUACUAGAGACUGGUAUGUCCUGAUAGCAGAAAACAGGAAGCAUAUCAAAGCAAGAGGUUGUUUGUCUCCUGACCUGCUCCUGUACAACAAGAAGCAGUUUCUGUUGCCCUGGAUACACGUGCUAUAUUAGGCGGCAAAGCAGAGGAUGGCAGUUACAGGUGUCAGUACUAGGGAUGAUUUUUUUUUUUUUUAUCACUGAGGCAGGGUACCCCAGUAGCAAUUGAAAGGGCUAGGACAUUUUUUUUUCCCUCCUGAAUUGUACAAGUUUAAAAGUAAUGUUCGUCUUCUGACCUAGAAAAAGAAUCAUAACUGGAAUGUGGACAUUUUAUUUGUCCAGUUAUAUGUAUUAAUUUGAAAUUGUACACACAGUGUAUCUCCUUUUGUUGUAUUUUCUCCUGAGAUAUCUUAGAUCUUACACUUAUCCAUUCUUAGACCUUACACAUGCAUAUCGCUCUAGUAGGAAAAUACUCUGCUCAGCUUAAACAUGUGUAUUUUACUUGUUAUAUGAAAUUUGUGGAGUAUAAGAAAGUUUAAUCUCUGUUUUAAUUAAGUUCAGAAAUAGGAAUGUUUUUUCCCAUGAGUGAGAUUGAUGAGAAAAAUUAAAGCAAGCGAUAGACUCUUUUUCAACCAAAAAUAUUUGGAACUUCAGUUUAAAUUGGUGGAGGUUAUGAAAGGUAGUAUGGAUUUAAAGAGAGAUGGAUUUUCUUAACAUUUAAAAGAUAGCUGACUAAGCUGCUAAACAGAAAAAAAUGUGAAAAAGGCAUCUUUAAAAAAUAUAAUUCCCAGUGAAAAAAAUUAAUGUACAAAGAAAAAGCCUAUUCCUAAAAUCGUGCAGUGCUUCUAUCUCCUAGAAAUAAAACUAGGACAUCCCUUCUCUCUUCUUUCUUGCACCCUUUCUGACGGCUACUCCAGGACUACGCUGGUGGGGAUAACGUUUUCCAGGACUGUCAGCUAACAGUACGGAAAUGAUUGGCAUUUGGUGUCUGUGUACAUUUUCCUUUCAAAGGGCCACCCGUAGGAGGUUUUCAAUUACCAGUUAAAUAAGUGAAUACAAGAAUGAAUGAAUGAGUAAUUGGGAGACCUUGGUUGCUACUUUAGCCUAAGCCUGACCCUUAUUUAUUAUGUUUUGUGACCUUUAGCAGGUUACUUUACUCAUGGCUCUGUAUCUGUAAAGUCGAGUGAAUGACACCUACCAUGCAUGAAUAGAGAAAGAGAAAGAAGCAGAUCUGGUAAGAUUUAGCAUGGGAACUGAUGGCUAAACUAAGGCUCAGCUUAGAGAGUUCUGUUGAAUUCUGUUGAGUUCUGUCACAGUUUUAUCUUAUUAGCAGAGGUGUGACCUAGUGAUCCUGGCACGUUAGGAUAUCGAGCAGAGAUUUUGACCUUUGAUCCUCCUAGUCACUUACUGUGUACCUUGUGCAAACCAAUCAGUCUAAUCGUGUAAUAGGGAAAAUGCCUACAUAAUUUUGGAUUCAUGGUCCAAAGGGAUGUCCGUAAAAGGAAUUUAAAGAAUUCACUGAUUGUGAUUACAAUAUUCUAGAUACUAAACAAGAAACCUCAAAAAAAUGUACCUUCUCUCCUAAGAUAUUGCUGAGCUGAAACUGGGCUUUUUUCUCUCCCUUUUCAGAAUUCAUGUAACAGUAACACUAGGUACUAUAUAAAAUAUUUUAGAAUUAAUGAUUUUGUUCUUCUUAUAAAUUUAAAGGACACUUUUUAUACACCUUUUAUAGUGUGUAAAACUGUCACAGAACUUGACAUAGAGGAUUAAUUAGCUAAAUAAUGCUGAAAUGAGGACUAAAAUAGUUUUUCUGAUUUCCUGUUCACCAAAAUGACAUGCUCUAAAUAAGAGCAUUUUUGUUCUAUUUAUGGAAGUCUGAUAUACCUGUAGUCUACUGUUAUCAUGUGUUUAAUUUUUGUUUUUAAUUCAAAUGGGGCAUAUGGUAUGUUGUUAAAACUAAGCAGGAAACUUCUGAAUCUUAAGGAGGAAUUCUUGAUGUGUUUGUAGCAUAACAGAGUCCCACUCGCUAGCACAAACAGACAAAAGUUUAAAUUUUAAACUAAAUUUAAAUUGAGGAAAAGUAGAAAAGCACACUGAUCAGAUAGUCUUAAGAUUUGGAUUCACCACCUACUAAGUGACUUUGGAUGUGUCAUUUCCCCUUCUUUAGCCUCCACUUCUUAAUCUACAAAAUACACUCUUACAUAGUAAUACCUCUCCUAUUACAUGAGAGUGAUUUUGAGGGUCAAAAAUAUGGUGGAAGUUUGUAACAUGAGCUAUAACAAUAUUAGUGAUUUAUCACUAGUAUAAAGCCAUAUGUAGCUGCUAUACUAUUAGCUCUUAUAUUGUUAGCAAGUGCAAUUGACUUUAUCUUUUAGAGGUAAAACUUGACUUCAAAAGGAGGUUUAAAAAAAAGGUCUAAAGUCCUUGAGAUUAAAAGAAUCCAAAAGUCAUUUGUUGCCAGAAUCAAAAGGCAGGUUUUUAAUUCAGCUUCUAAAUUAUCAAAAGAUAGAAGCAGGUAAAAUAUGAAGCUUCUGUUCACAGAUUUCACAGUACACGGAAGGAAUACUGAAGACAGAGGGGAGACAGGCUUUAGUGCAGACCUGGACACCUGGAAAAGCAAAUAGUCUCCUGAAGUCUCUUCUACUAUUGUAAGGUCCAUGAGUAUACAAGGUCUGAUUGCAUAAUAGGUGCUCAAUAAAUAUUUGUCGAAUAAGUGGAUGAACGAAUGAUAAGUAAAUACAAAUGCAUCUACUUCUCCCUUGGCUGCUUCUCCUGUUGGAAGGCUUAAUCUUUUAACAUUGGAAUUCCACAAGAAACAUCUUAACCAAGUCAUGUGUUUGGGCCAAUCUGUUUCCAGGCUUGUUUGUGUUUUUCACAUUCUUUUUUUGGCCUGCAAUAUUAUUCUGUGACCUCUUUCCAGUAGGUCAUUCAGUUGGGCCCCAAGGAAGUUAGUAAAUUAAACUUGAUUUGGAAUGGAAUACUUAUAGGGUGUGUGGCUUGGAUUGGAAUCAAAUUAGGUCUGGCUAAUCUUAUUUUGGUUUAAUCUAUGUGGGAAAGAAUAGAAAUAGAGGAAAAACAAACAGAAAAUAGUGGAAACUAUUCUUGUAUAAUGAUAAGCAGUUUUCGUAAGGAAUAGUUCCAAGGGCCAAAACCUAAAUUAUUUUUAUGAAAAGUUUGGGGACGAGAUUCAGCAGUGGAAAGAUUAAGUUCGCCAGUCGUCAUAGUUGGUGUUUACUUUUCUAGCUUUCCCAAGCCAGAGAAUUUCUAGGCUUUUAAAAUGUGGAUACUCCAUACACAAGGCAUGUUACUUAAUAUAGUACAUGCUUUUUAAUCUUCUUCAGGGCUCUGGAAAUGGAAAAGCCCAAUCUUUGGGAAACCUCAGCUACUAGGGAGGCAAAAAAAGUUUCUAGUCAAAUCAUCCAGACUCAAUCUUGAGUCUCUUAUGCAGUUCUAUGGUGAAGAAAUGUUGAGACAGUGCUCUCAAUUCCUGCACUAGUAAUUUCUUUAAAGCUGACUUUUCCCCCUUCAGUCACUUCCAAGUUGCAAUAUAUUGGACCACAGAAGACUUAACCUUGGCGCUCAGAGUUCAGGAAAUCCCCUUUCCGAACUGGCUGAGAGCGUUUGAAUAAAAUGGGAAACUUCUUCAAAGCUACCUGGGAAGGGGGAAAGCAGCAAGGAGCAAGUGAAACCUUCAGAGUGAGAACCCUUUUGUUUGGAGUUCUGACUGGGGCCUGGGGAGUCUGAAUGGGAUCUUUUCUUGAAGAGAAUUUCAUGUGAUUGCCUAAUAGGUUCUUACAAAGGAGAGAAUCAAGAUUUACCAUUUGGAGUUUCUGGACUGUAAUAAUAUUUGUUCCUGACAAUUGAAUUUCCCCUCCCAUGGAAGUCAGUAUUUUGUUCAUUUAAUAAAGCAAAUUAAGUUUUCACUUUAAAAAGGGGGAAGAGUGACUACAUUAUUUCUAACUUUUCAUAUUUGACCUGCGGAUUAAAGGGGUGAGUUAAGGUACUGAAACAUGGGGGAGAUGAUAUGGAAUUUUUUCAGUGCUUGCUACAGGGUUUUAAGUACCCUGUCUCCCCACUUAGUUGCCUGAUGUUGUUGAAGGUUUCACUUGCCUGAGUAGAGGGUAAUAAUAAUGGGUUUUUUCUGUCUAAAGGAGAUGACCAGACCAAAUGAUUUUAUACAGUUCUUUUAAGCACUUAUAAAUGAUUCCAAAGCAGCAAAUGAAUUUUGGUUUUGGUUAAUUUUCCAGGAGCAAAUCUAGUUAGUGGCAAUCUUCUAAAAGUAUAAAGGACUUUUGGCUGCUUCAGCAAUACUUAAGUAUUUUAAAAAUUAUUUUGUUAUGUGAUAUUUUCUGCAUGUAAAAUUAUGCAUAUAUGUACAAUUAUUCCCACACCUGUAAAAUACAUAUUAUACACUGUUGAUAUAGGUUUGAAAAUAAGAAAAUGAAGAUCCCAGUACAUACAGACCAGCUAAAGCAAUAAUAUAUUCUGUACUUUUUUUCUGGAGUUACAGAGGUUUUAGAGUAAAUGCUGUUCCCCCAGAAAGGACACCAUGAUUUCAUUUUCUGUUUUAAGAAAAAAGAGAGGGUUACCAUUUCAUUUGUUCAGUUCUGAUUCUCCCUAAUAACUAGCUUUUUUGUUUUUGCUUUUAGAUAUUGCAUCUUAGAAAUGUAAACUUAUUAGCUCAGGCACUGUUGAUAACGUUUUGCUUAAAGUAAUUGUUGCUAAUGGGAAAAUGGUUAAAUAUGCUAAUUCUAAUAAAUUAUCUUUUUAAAGCGUUUAUAAAAAUAUGGACAGACAUGCAGAUGCCUUAAAUCUUUUUUGAAACAAGGCGAUGUAUGAAUAAAUAAGAUUUUAAAGUGCUCACUUCGUUAAAGUUUAAAAGGGAGAAAUAUACAGUUGCAUAUCUAGUAUAAUCACAACUACUCAUCACGGCAGGAAGAAUUAAACAUUUGUCCGUAUCUCUGGGUGGUAUAAUUCUCUUUCCUCUUUUCACUGUCAUAUUUCCCAAACUUUUAGCAUAUUUGUUCUUAUAAUGGAAAAGUCUCUUUUACUUUUAUGAAAAUAAAUUGAUUGUUGAUGCAGUUUCCAUGAUGCCCAAGAGCUUAUUCUAGUUGCAUUUCUAGUGUGCUGCUGCCACCUUGUGCUUUCUGCAACCCAUUACAGUGAUCAGAGAAGAAAGGAAAAUCCUUAGGAAGGUGGGUAUUUCCUCGGAGAUGAAUUUUCAUAGUGUAGGAAGAUGAGAGAGAAACAUGUUUCAGAUACAUGAAAGAUACAUGGUGUGUGUGUGUGAGAGAGCACGAGAGAGCUUUCUAAAGGUUUGGGGGAUUGUUUACUAGAUGAUAUCUCUAUUAAAAUUAUAUUUUAUGACUAGGACUUGCAACCUGGCAAAGGAGAAGAGGAAAGACCUUGGUUUCAGUGCUGAUAACAAUAAACUCCUUAGUUAGGGUUUAAAAUACAUUUUGAUACUUUCUAUCCUCGCCUGGUUUUUAAAAUGUAUUCCCUUAGCUUGUGCCUAGAAAGCUCUAGGUGGCUUGUUCAAUGUGCUUCUUUAAAUUAAAUCGCCUGCUGUGUUUACAUGACUGUUUUUCUGUUUUCACAUUAUCAUUCCAGACGACAUUCCAUUUGUUCAGUGCCUCAAACUAUUUAUAUGGUCUGCUGCCCUGGAGUUAUGCUGAGCUCCUGAAAGGGGUGUCUUACCUGGAACUUUGGCCUUCCUGGAGCGUAAACAAGCCCAAUUCGACAGGGAUCCCAGGGUAUGGAUUCUGAGAAGGACUCUUAUUGGCGAGCGCCCUUGGGAGCGCCCCCCGUGAAGCAGUGAGGACUACUGACUGGGCAGAGGGAGAAGUCGAACAGCACUGCAGUUGCACAAGCACCGUCAACUAACCCUCUCGGCCAUGACGGCGCAGGAGGUCCACUGUGGGCCACGGAAUGUGAGCUGCACCCCCUGGGAGGACGCAUGACCUCAGCUGAAACAUGGAUGAUAUGGGAGGGCAGUGAACCAGCUUUUACCUUGCAACAUGAAGUCAGUACUCCAGGGGAACAGGACAACAAGGGAAGCAGCAACAAUGUAACUAAGAAAGCAAAGGAGUAAAUAGCUUCUAUUCCAGAAGAAAAACAAAGCCACCACUGCUUUGCAAUACUUUUCCCUACUUCUCAGCAAUUUUCCAAUUUACAUAAACAGUUUCUGACAGUGUGCAGUGCCUUCUAAUUAGGUUACAUACCACUGUUUCAGAACUGUGGAAGACUUUGCUGUCCACUCACAUCCUCUCUUAAUGCUACUUUGAACUGGAAUGAGUAUUUUAAUUCAAGACUGGCUUGCCUCUAUUUCCCUCCCAUCCUGUCAGGAGACAGAUAUGUGCCAGGAAUGUGGAGUGAAAAGUGGGAGGGAGCUUUCAGCUUUCAGAUGGUGUUAUAUUUGUCCGUGUAAGAUAUCUCCAGGGAGCUGAUGGAGGUAAGAAAGCGGGUUGAGGAGUAACUAAGAGAAGGUCGAAGGAUUUCAAGGAGUGAAGGAAGGGACCCAUUAACUGUAAUGCGGCAGAAACAGCAAGAAUCACCAGGAUAUGCUGCCCCCUGCAGGAUUGUUUGGUAAAAACACACCAGUUAAAAUUGACUACUUAAACGUUAAACAAUCUCAGUGUUGACAGGAUGUGAGCAAUAGAAAUGCUCAUAUUCUUCUGGUAGGGUGUUAUUUGGUAAUGUCUAGAAAAGCUGAAGAUGUACAUUCCCUACAUCCCAGAAAUCUCACUCUUACGUAAACAUCCUAGAGAUACUCCCCCAUGUUUGGAUAAGGAGACAUGUAUAGGAGUGUCCCUUGUUGUGCUAUUUGUGACAGCAAGAAAUUGGAAACAACCCAAAUAUUCAUCAACAGAAAAAUGUAAACCUCAGUUGGGGUAUAUUCCUACCAUGAAAUGCUAUAUACAGUAAUUUAAAAGUA